GAGCGCUACUCUUUUAGAGUGAGCGGCAAACGGGUGAGUAACGCGUGGGAAUCUACCCAUUUCUACGGAAUAACACAGAGAAAUUUGUGCUAAUACCGUAUACGUCCCUUUUGGGAGUAAAGAUUUAUCGGAGAUGGAUGAGCCCGCGUUGGAUUAGCUAGUUGGUGAGGUAACGGCUCACCAAGGCGACGAUCCAUAGCUGGUCUGAGAGGAUGAUCAGCCACACUGGGACCGAGACACGGCCCAG
rnacentral:rRNA from 1 species